UACGGAGGGUGCAAGCGUUGUUCGGAAUCAUUGGGCGUAAAGGGCGCGUAGGCGGACCUGCAAGUCGAUUGUGAAAGCCCUGGGCUUAACCCGGGAAUUGCAGUCGAAACUGCCGGUCUUGAAUGCUCGAGAGGAUGGUGGAAUUCCUGGUGUAGAAGUGAAAUUCGUAGAUAUCAGGAGGAACACCGGAGGCGAAGGCGGCCAUCUGGCGAGACAUUGACGCUGAGGCGCGAAAGCGUGGGGAUCAAACAGG
rnacentral:rRNA from 1 species